rnacentral:rRNA from 1 species
CGGAGGGUGCAAGCGUUAUCCGGAUUCACUGGGUUUAAAGGGUGCGUAGGAGGGCAGGUAAGUCAGUGGUGAAAUCUCCAAGCUUAACUUGGAAACUGCCGUUGAUACUAUCUGUCUUGAAUAUUGUGGAGGUGAGCGGAAUAUGUCAUGUAGCGGUGAAAUGCUUAGAUAUGACAUAGAACACCAAUUGCGAAGGCAGCUCGCUACUCAAUUAUUGACUCUGAGGCACGAAAGCGUGGGGAUCAAACGGGAUUAGAUACCCUGGUAGUCCACGCCCUAAACUAUGGAUACUCGACAUACGCGAUAUACAGUGUGUGUCUGAGCGAAAGCAUUAAGUAUCCCACCUGGGAAGUACGACCGCAAGGUUG